rnacentral:tRNA from 1 species
GAGGGUAUAGUUCAGUGGUAGAGUGUGUGCCUGCAUGCACAAAGUCCUGGGUUCAAUCCCCAGUACCUCCA